UACGUAGGGUGCAAGCGUUGUCCGGAAUUAUUGGGCGUAAAGAGCUCGUAGGCGGUUUGUCGCGUCUGCUGUGAAAACCCGAGGCUCAACCUCGGGCCUGCAGUGGGUACGGGCAGACUAGAGUGCGGUAGGGGAGAAUGGAAUUCCUGGUGUAGCGGUGAAAUGCGCAGAUAUCAGGAGGAACACCGGUGGCGAAGGCGGUUCUCUGGGCCUUACCUGACGCUGAGGAGCGAAAGCAUGGGGAGCAAACAGG
rnacentral:rRNA from 1 species